rnacentral:rRNA from 1 species
UACAGAGGUCUCAAGCGUUGUUCGGAUUCAUUGGGCGUAAAGGGUGUGUAGGUGGCGCGCUAAGUCGGGUGUGAAAUUUUGGAGCUUAACUCCGAAACUGCAUUCGAUACUGGCGUGCUUGAGGACUGGAGAGGAGACUGGAAUUCAUGGUGUAGCAGUGAAAUGCGUAGAGAUCAUGAGGAAGACCAGUGGCGAAGGCGGGUCUCUGGACAGUUCCUGACGCUGAGGCACGAAGGCCAGGGGAGCAAACGGG